ensembl:snRNA U6 U6 spliceosomal RNA
GUGUUGCUGGCAGCACGUAUACUAAAAUUGGAACAAUACAGAGAUUAGCCUGGUCCCUGUGCAAGGAUGACAUGCAAAUUCUUGAAGUGUUCUAUAUUUUA